rnacentral:rRNA from 1 species
GACGAACGCUUUCUUCUUUCUUAACACAUGCAAGUCGAACGAUGAAGUCCAGCUUGCUGUGCGGAAGAGUGGCGAACGGGUGAGUAACACGUGAGUAACCUGCCCUGCACUCUGGGAUAAGUACUGGAAACGGUGUCUAAUUCUGGAUACGACCCAUCUCCACAUGGUGUGUUGGUGGGAAGAUUUAUCGGUUCUGGAUGGACUCGCGGCUUAUCCGCUAGAUGGUGAGGUAAUGGCUCACCAUGGCGACGACGGGUAGCCGGCCUGAGAGGGUGACCGGCCACACUGGGACUGGGACACGGCGCAGACUCCUACGGGAGGCAGCGGUGGGGAGUAUUGCACAGUGGCGGCAAGCCUGAUGCAGCAACGCCGCGUGAGGAAUAACGGCUUUCGGGUUGUAAACCUCUUUUAGUAGGGAAGAAGCGAAAGUGACGGUACCUGCAGAAAAAGCACCGGCUAACUACGUG